UUAAGUUAUUAAGGGCGCACGGUGGAUGCCUUGGCACUAGAAGCCGAUGAAGGACGUUACUAACGACGAUAUGCUUUGGGGAGCUGUAAGUAAGCUUUGAUCCAGAGAUUUCCGAAUGGGGAAACCCAGCAUGAGUUAUGUCAUGUUAUCGAUAUGUGAAUACAUAGCAUAUCAGAAGGCACACCCGGAGAACUGAAACAUCUUAGUACCCGGAGGAAGAGAAAGAAAAUUCGAUUCCCUUAGUAGCGGCGAGCGAAACGGGAAGAGCCCAAACCAACAAGCUUGCUUGUUGGGGUUGUAGGACACUCUAUACGGAGUUACAAAGGACGACAUUAGACGAAUCAUCUGGAAAGAUGAAUCAAAGAAGGUAAUAAUCCUGUAGUCGAAAAUGUUGUCUCUCUUGAGUGGAUCCUGAGUACGACGGAGCACGUGAAAUUCCGUUGGAAUCUGGGAGGACCAUCUCCUAAGGCUAAAUACUCUCUAGUGACCGAUAGUGAACCAGUACCGUGAGGGAAAGGUGAAAAGCACCCCGGAAGGGGAGUGAAAUAGAACCUGAAACCGUGUGCUUACAAGUAGUCAGAGCCCGUUAAUGGGUGAUGGCGUGCCUUUUGUAGAAUGAACCGGCGAGUUACGAUUUGAUGCAAGGUUAAGCAGUAAAUGUGGAGCCGUAGCGAAAGCGAGUCUGAAUAGGGCGUUUAGUAUUUGGUUGUAGACCCGAAACCAGGUGAUCUACCCUUGGUCAGGUUGAAGUUCAGGUAACACUGAAUGGAGGACCGAACCGACUUACGUUGAAAAGUGAGCGGAUGAACUGAGGGUAGCGGAGAAAUUCCAAUCGAACCUGGAGAUAGCUGGUUCUCUCCGAAAUAGCUUUAGGGCUAGCCUCAAGUGAUGAUUAUUGGAGGUAGAGCACUGUUUGGACGAGGGGCCCCUCUCGGGUUACCGAAUUCAGACAAACUCCGAAUGCCAAUUAAUUUAACUUGGGAGUCAGAACAUGGGUGAUAAGGUCCGUGUUCGAAAGGGAAACAGCCCAGACCACCAGCUAAGGUCCCAAAAUAUAUGUUAAGUGGAAAAGGAUGUGGCGUUGCCCAGACAACUAGGAUGUUGGCUUAGAAGCAGCCAUCAUUUAAAGAGUGCGUAAUAGCUCACUAGUCGAGUGACACUGCGCCGAAAAUGUACCGGGGCUAAACAUAUUACCGAAGCUGUGGAUUGUCCUUUGGACAAUGGUAGGAGAGCGUUCUAAGGGCGUUGAAGCAUGAUCGUAAGGACAUGUGGAGCGCUUAGAAGUGAGAAUGCCGGUGUGAGUAGCGAAAGACGGGUGAGAAUCCCGUCCACCGAUUGACUAAGGUUUCCAGAGGAAGGCUCGUCCGCUCUGGGUUAGUCGGGUCCUAAGCUGAGGCCGACAGGCGUAGGCGAUGGAUAACAGGUUGAUAUUCCUGUACCACCUAUAAUCGUUUUAAUCGAUGGGGGGACGCAGUAGGAUAGGCGAAGCGUGCGAUUGGAUUGCACGUCUAAGCAGUAAGGCUGAGUAUUAGGCAAAUCCGGUACUCAUUAAGGCUGAGCUGUGAUGGGGAGAAGACAUUGUGUCUUCGAGUCGUUGAUUUCACACUGCCGAGAAAAGCCUCUAGAUAGAAAAUAGGUGCCCGUACCGCAAACCGACACAGGUAGUCAAGAUGAGAAUUCUAAGGUGAGCGAGCGAACUCUCGUUAAGGAACUCGGCAAAAUGACCCCGUAACUUCGGGAGAAGGGGUGCUCUUUAGGGUUAACGCCCAGAAGAGCCGCAGUGAAUAGGCCCAAGCGACUGUUUAUCAAAAACACAGGUCUCUGCUAAACCGUAAGGUGAUGUAUAGGGGCUGACGCCUGCCCGGUGCUGGAAGGUUAAGAGGAGUGGUUAGCUUCUGCGAAGCUACGAAUCGAAGCCCCAGUAAACGGCGGCCGUAACUAUAACGGUCCUAAGGUAGCGAAAUUCCUUGUCGGGUAAGUUCCGACCCGCACGAAAGGCGUAACGAUUUGGGCACUGUCUCAACGAGAGACUCGGUGAAAUCAUAGUACCUGUGAAGAUGCAGGUUACCCGCGACAGGACGGAAAGACCCCGUGGAGCUUUACUGUAGCCUGAUAUUGAAAUUCGGCACAGCUUGUACAGGAUAGGUAGGAGCCUUUGAAACGUGAGCGCUAGCUUACGUGGAGGCGCUGGUGGGAUACUACCCUAGCUGUGUUGGCUUUCUAACCCGCACCACUUAUCGUGGUGGGAGACAGUGUCAGGCGGGCAGUUUGACUGGGGCGGUCGCCUCCUAAAAGGUAACGGAGGCGCUCAAAGGUUCCCUCAGAAUGGUUGGAAAUCAUUCAUAGAGUGUAAAGGCAUAAGGGAGCUUGACUGCGAGACCUACAAGUCGAGCAGGGUCGAAAGACGGACUUAGUGAUCCGGUGGUUCCGUAUGGAAGGGCCAUCGCUCAACGGAUAAAAGCUACCCCGGGGAUAACAGGCUUAUCUCCCCCAAGAGUUCACAUCGACGGGGAGGUUUGGCACCUCGAUGUCGGCUCAUCGCAUCCUGGGGCUGUAGUCGGUCCCAAGGGUUGGGCUGUUCGCCCAUUAAAGCGGUACGCGAGCUGGGUUCAGAACGUCGUGAGACAGUUCGGUCCCUAUCCGUCGUGGGCGUAGGAAAUUUGAGAGGAGCUGUCCUUAGUACGAGAGGACCGGGAUGGACAUACCUCUGGUGUACCAGUUGUCGUGCCAACGGCAUAGCUGGGUAGCUAUGUGUGGACGGGAUAAGUGCUGAAAGCAUCUAAGCAUGAAGCCCCCCUCAAGAUGAGAUUUCCCAACUUCGGUUAUAAGAUCCCUCAAAGAUGAUGAGGUUAAUAGGUUCGAGGUGGAAGCAUGGUGACAUGUGGAGCUGACGAAUACUAAUCGAUCGAAGACUUAAUCAA
rnacentral:rRNA from 1 species